UUUGUCUUUUUUUUUUUUUACUACAGUUGAACCUUGUCAUAUUAAGGAUGACUCAUUAGCUAUCACAAGUCUUCUUCUUCUUUCUCAUUGUCAUAAGAGUUGAGUCUAUGACUCUUGGAACUCUAGGCCCAUGGAAGUGUACCUCUAUCUUCUGACUGGGAAAGAUCCAAGGAGAUGUAAAUUAUUACAUCCCUACUACUGAUGGCUCAUAUCCCAAGGCGCUUGGAUUAGAAGUGAGGCCAGUGCCUGAGCACAUCAGGGAAACUCCCCCAUAUUUCUUUUCUGCACCACAUCCUCUGUGCAAGUGGCUGCCAUAAAAACUGUCCCUCGAGGAAGGGUGUUUGUUGGGACUUUCUUCCUUCCCCAUCAGUGCAAUGGACUUGGUCCUUAGGCACCCCAAAAGUGGUUCUUUUUUUUGCUUCUCUAUUGGCCUAAUUGUCUCCUAACAAUUGUUUCCAUCCGAGCACCACAUUGAGGCUGAGAAGCAAUGCCCAAACUAUUGCAGGUCAAAUUUAGCUUUCAAAUUGAAGAUUCCUGAUAUUAUCUAUUUGAAAUGGUGCAGCCAUUGAGCUUCAGAUAAUUUCAUAUAUCAGAUGUUUGAUAAAAGUGAUGACAAUGUACCCUACCUCCUAUAACUCAGUUAAGAUUGAUGCAUGCAUUUAAAAACAAACAAAAAAGAAACUU